GCCUGGGUGGCUCAGUCGGUUGAGCGUCCGACUUCAGCUCAGGUCAUGAUCUCACAGUUUGUGAGUUCGAGCCCCGCAUCGGGCU
rnacentral:tRNA from 1 species